UGGGGAAUAUUCCGCAAUGGACGAAAGUCUGACGGAGCAACGCCGCGUGAGUGAUGAAGGUUUUCGGACUGUAAAACUCUGUUGUUUAGGACGAAAGUGCCUGUUGCAAAUAGUUGCAGGUAUUGACGGUACUGAACGAGGAAGCCACGGCUAACUACGUGCCAGCAGCCGCGGUAAUACGUAGGUGGCAAGCGUUGUCCGGAAUUAUUGGGCGUAAAGAGCAUGUAGGUGGAUACUUAAGUCUGUUGUGAAAAUGCGGGGCUCAACCCCGUAUUGCGAUGGAAACUGGGUGUCUUGAGUGCAGGAGAGGAAAGGGGAAUUCCCAGUGUAGCGGUGAAAUGCGUAGAUAUUGGGAGGAACACCAGUGGCGAAGGCGCCUUUCUGGACUGUGUCUGACACUGAGAUGCGAAAGCUAGGGGAGCGAACG
rnacentral:rRNA from 2 species